CACUCGUCCUGCCAUCAGAAUUUAACCAUCCCUUUGCAUGCAGUACAAAAUUGUAAUGCGCUGACACAUGUAUGGCAGCCAAAAAUAACCGACCCAUAUAAGAUGCCUCAUUGGUAAAACCGACACCAAAAACAAAAAUGGCCAAACCAAUCCUGAUAGGUGUAUCCACGCAUGGCAGCCAACUCCACACGCGUUAUAAUGAGAAGGGCUCUAAUUGGUGUGUGAGAGGGAAAACCCAGAAGUCUUAAAACUGACUUCGGUGCUCAGUUGUCAACAGCCAUUGUCUAUCCAUGAUAUGUGUAAGCAUGCAUGGAGCCCACUAACAUACCCUAAUCCCACAUGUCCCUUUCUCUGAACUUCUCAAACACGUACCCACAGUCCAAUUUCCAAGUGU
rnacentral:lncRNA from 1 species